rnacentral:rRNA from 1 species
CUAAAUACUACCCAGUGACCGAUAGCGUAUAGUACUGUGAAGGAAAGGUGAAAAGCACCCCGGGAGGGGAGUGAAAAAGAACCUGAAACCCUGUGCCUACAAGCACCUAGAGCACGUCAAAGUGUGAUAGGGUACUUUUUGUAGAACGGUCCGGCGAGCGAUUGUAUGCAGCAAGGUUAAGGACUUAAGGUCUGGAGCCGAAGCGAAAGCGAGUUUGAAAAGGGCGUUAAGUUGCAUACAAUGGGCCCGAAACCGGGUGACCUACCCAUGGUCAGGUUGAAGUGGAAGUAAAAUUCCAUGGAGGACCGAACCGACCUCCGUUGAAAAGGCGGCGGAUGAACUGUGGGUAGCGGAGAAAUUCCAAUCGAACCCGGAGAUAGCUGGUUCUCCCCGAAAUAGUUUUAGGACUAGCCUCAAGUUAGAUACCUGGAGGUAAAGCACUGAAUAGCCUAGCGGCCGAGAGGUUAGCGAAGCUUAUCAAACUCAGAAUGCCAGAGUAUUGAUGCUUGGGAGUCAGACAGUGUCAGAUAAAUGUCAUUGUCAAAAGGGAAACAGCCCAGAUCUACAGCUAAGGUCCCAAAGUCAGGUUAAGUGGAAAACGAUGUGAAGAUACGUAGACAACCAGGAUGUUGGCUCAGAAGCAGCCACUCAUUCAAAGAGUGCGUAAUAGCUCACUGGUCGAGCGUCUUUGCGCGGAGAAUUUAACGGGGCUAAACCUGACACCGAAGCUUAGGCAAUCCAGUAAUGGAUUGGGUAGGGGAGCGUUGUAUACGCGGCGAAACAGUAGCGCAAGCGGCUGUGGAGUGUAUAGAAGUGAGAAUGCCGGAAUGAGUAGCGCGAAUGCAGUGAGAAUCUGCAUGGCCGAAAGCCUCAGGUUUCUGGAGGAAGGUUCGUCCGCUCCAGGUUAGUCGGGAGCUAAGGUGAGGCCUAACGGCGUAGCCGAUGCACAGACGGUAGAGAUUCCGUCACCACCAAAAGAGUUAAACACAGGGACACAUAUGAAGUCUCGGAGCCGGGUGUUGGUUCCGGUAGCGAUCGAGGGAAGUUAGUACCGAAGUCCGGGAUGGAAGAUGGCGAGAAAAGCUGUGUGUAUUUCUGCGGUGCCCGUACCGCAAACCGACACAGGUAGGUAGGAAGAAGAUUCUAAGGCCAACGGGAGAAGGGUUGUUAAGGAACUCGGCAAAUUGACCCCGUAACUUCGGGAGAAGGGGUGCUCCAGAGAUGGAGCCGCAGAGAAUCGGCCCAAGCAACUGUUUACCAAAAACACAGGUUUGUGCUAAAUCGAAAGAUGACGUAUACGAGCUGACGCCUGCCCGGUGCUGGAAGGUUAAGAGGAGAUGUGCAAGCAUUGAAUCGAAGCCCCAGUGAACGGCGGCCGUAACUAUAACGGUCCUAAGGUAGCGAAAUUCCUUGUCAGGUAAG